rnacentral:rRNA from 1 species
UACAGAGGCCCCGAGCGUUGUUCGGAUUCAUUGGGCGUAAAGGGUGCGUAGGCGGCGGGGCAAGUCUGAUGUGAAAUCCCGGGGCUCAACCCCGGAACUGCAUUGGAUACUGCCUUGCUAGAGUACUGGAGAGGGAACUGGAAUUACGGUGUAGCAGUGAAAUGCGUAGAGAUCGUGAAGGAAGGCCAGUGGCGAAGGCGAGUUCCUGGACAGUUACUGACCGCUGAGGCACGAAGGCCAGGGGAGCAAACGGGG